AGAGUUUGAUCAUGGCUCAGGAUGAACGCUAGCUACAGGCUUAACACAUGCAAGUCGAGGGGCAGCAUUUCAGUUUGCUUGCAAACUGGAGAUGGCGACCGGCGCACGGGUGAGUAACACGUAUCCAACCUGCCGAUAACUCGGGGAGUAGCCUUUCGAAAGAAAGAUUAAUACCCGAUGGUAUAAUCAGACCGCAUGGUCUUGUUAUUAAAGAAAUUUCGGUUAUCGAUGGGGAGUGCGUUCCAUUAGGCAGUUGGUGAGGUAACGGCUCACCAAACCUUCGAUGGAUAGGGGUUCUGAGAGGAAGGUCCCCCACAUUGGAACUGAGACACGGUCCAAACUCCUACGGGAGGCAGCA
rnacentral:rRNA from 1 species